AAAUACUUCAGAAGGAAUUUACCUGUCAGUAUUGAUUGCACACACAAAAAGCAGAAAAAGCUUUCUGUAUACUGUUGGCUUCCCAGAGGAGGGGAAGAGACUAGGUGUGCUCAGAGCUGCUUCUGUGUGGCCACUGGAACCUGGAUAAUUGCGGGCCAUCAUGAGAGAGUCUUUCGGACCCCGCAGAAACCUGGGCUGCUUUUGAAGAGGGCAGUCCCCCCCGUGCCCUCAGCCUGUGCUGCCGCUCGUGCUGUAGUGUUCUGGAUGCUGUGCAUGAAGGCUUCAAUAACAGCCUUCUUCUGUGUAUUAUCUUUUUUUCCACAGGUCUUCUGGAAAAGAGAAAGAUUUCUGCGUGAGCACUACACUGGAGCCCAGGUAUUUACAGAGAUGUUAACCGCUGAUGCAGCACUGAUCUCCAUGGAUCUUCCACCAGGUGAGCCCGAAAGCAACAGGAACAAUUUGGGGAGAGACUGAACAACUUCAGUCAGGCCCAAAGCAGGACGGUAAUGCAGCCUGAAGCUUUGCAUGGGACACUUGGGAGCCCAAAUAUGAUGGAGAAGAAGCCAGGCAGUGUUCUGAAGGAUCUCAAGCAGGUGCAUAUUCAAGGAGACACUGUUGGCUGUUCUGCAGGAAGGGAAAGGUUUGCAUCACUUAAAUAUAUUUUAUUUUUUUUUUCAGAAAGUUGCCUGCUCUAACUAGGGUAAAUACUGUGCAAAUUAGGAAGCCGCUGUUAGGUCUAUCAUGACGCAUCUCUGCUCUAGUUUGACAAUUUUUUUGUCUGAGAAAAUUAGCCCAUUUCCUACCUGUGUUUUAUGCUCUUAUUGCCAUUGUUCAUUUUAGAAUGCCAAGUAAUUAAAAUACGGUGGCUUAAUGCUGAUUUAUACUCUGGUUUUUCAUGGAAGCAAAGCUAUCUGUAAUAAUAGAAACUUACAGAAAAUAUCUCUAUUAUGGACCAUGCUUCUGACAUAAUUGGAAAUUUUUUUCCCACCUCAGUACAAUCUGUGUUCCUAGCAUGCCUGUGUUACAGGGGGGUUCGCCCACGUAAUUAUUUCUUAAAAGUAGAAAGAUGCCUUAUUAAAAAAAAAAAAAGUAAUUUAGAACUUUUGAAACUUGAGUUUUACAUGUAUAAAGAAAAUAAUUUGGUCCUUUGGUCAAAUCUCUAGUAUUUUAAGGGUGACAUCUUUCCGAAAUGUUGAUUAUUAAGAGAACCCCCAGUGAAACUAC
rnacentral:lncRNA from 1 species